UACGUAGGGCGCAAGCGUUGUCCGGAAUUAUUGGGCGUAAAGAGCUCGUAGGCGGUUUGUCGCGUCUGCUGUGAAAACCUAAGGCUCAACCUUGGGCUUGCAGUGGGUACGGGCAGACUAGAGUGCGGUAGGGGUGACUGGAAUUCCUGGUGUAGCAGUGAAAUGCGUAGAUAUCGAGAGGAACACCUGCGGCGAAGGCGGGUUGCUGGGCUGACACUGACGCUGAGUGCGCGAAAGCCAGGGGAGCGAACGGG
rnacentral:rRNA from 1 species